rnacentral:siRNA from 1 species
GCACAAUGUUGUAAGUGUCUC